AACGAACGCUGGCGGCGCGCCUAAUACAUGCAAGUCGAGCGAGAAGGUGUAGCAAUACACUUGUAAAGCGGCGAACGGGUGAGGAAUGCAUGGGUAACCUACCCUCGAGUGGGGAAUAACUAGCCGAAAGGUUAGCUAAUACCGCAUACGUUUCCGGAACUUCGGUUUCGGAAAGAAAGCAAUACCGUGGGUAUUGCGCUCCUGGAUGGGCUCAUGUCCUAUCAGCUUGUUGGUGAGGUAACGGCUCACCAAGGCUUCGACGGGUAGCUGGUCUGAGAGGACGAUCAGCCACACUGGGACUGAGACACGGCCCAGACUCCUACGGGAGGCAGCAGUGGGGAAUAUUGGACAAUGGGCGAAAGCCUGAUCCAGCAAUGCCGCGUGAGUGAUGAAGGCCCUAGGGUUGUAAAGCUCUUUUACCAGGGAUGAUAAUGACAGUACCGGGAGAAUAAGCCCCGGCUAACUCCGUGCCAGCAGCCGCGGUAAU
rnacentral:rRNA from 1 species